AGGAACCUUCUUCUUAUUUGUCUGCCAUAUAGUGUAUAUUUAGAAGAGCAUAAAAUAUGCAGUAGACAUACAACAAUGGUCCUUAGGUCCCCAAAUCCAGACAAUACAUUUUAACAUGUAUGAUUUGUAUGUGUUUCAUAUUUUUCAGAUACUUUGACUGCCUAAGUUGAGGCCACAGCAGAAGAAGACAUGCUGGAUUCUGAAGUUAACAGUGAUACAACCAUAGACUCUCCUCCUGGCAUCUAGCUGGCAUGAGAACCAAGCCAAGGAAGACACACUGGAUACCUCCCCACCCGGGCCUCUGCAUCCUCGGUUGUACCCUCUCUCCUCCACUAAACACUAUUCACUAUGUACUCUACCAUCUAGUGUAUGAAUUUUAGAAGGGUAGUUUCAUCUCAAAUGGAACACUAAAGGUUUUUUUACUAACUGGAAAUAUAAGCUAUUUCACAGUCAUUGGCAUUAGUUCUGCAUAUGUAGAACAAGGUAACUUCUCUGUAGGACCUGGAGGGCUCAAGAUGUUGGAACUUUGAGGAUUUCUCUGCUCGAACACAGUUCAGUCAAUGACUCCAUUCAUAAGCAAGAAAAUCAUUGAACUGAGCUUACUGGAUGGACUUGUGCACCCCUGGUCUGUAGUUAUGGCAUAAGGAGUAUUAGAUGUUCAUAUUGCAUAAAUAUUUAUAUAAAAAGAAAUACUGGAGUAUUGUUAGUACGAUCAAGAAUUUUGGGAAAAUAAACCGCAAGAUAUUAUGGAGAUGGAAUUAGCACAGUUCUGAAGUUAUUAGUGCACUAAACAAACAAGCUCUUAUGUAACUAAUGUGGCAACUCCCCCACCCAGACUGAAUCAGGUAUUCUCUCUAUUUUUACUAAUUAGGAGUUUUGUACUUGUAGACUUUGUGGUUAGAAGCUAAAGAGCUUUUCACUUGUGUCUAAUAAUAGCUUGUCUCAGUUGUGCAUGUGUUUUUCCUUCACUGGUUAUUAAAAAGCACAUCAUUUACAGUCAGGUCGAUCACUAUUUGUAUAGAAGCAUAAUUUUGGUAUUUUUGCCUCUGUACAUCACCACAAUGGAUUUGAAAUGAAGCAAUCAAGAUGUGAUUGAAGUGUAGAUUAUCAGUUUUGUUUCAAUUGGUUUAACAAAAAUAUUACCGCCAUUUUUUAUGGAGUCUCUUCAUUUUCACAGGCUCAAAAUAAAUUGGACAUACUAACAAUUAUAAAUACUAUUUUUAAUGCUUGGAUGCAAAUACUUUACAGUCAAUGACUGCCUGACUUCUGGAACCCAUGGACAUCAUCAAAUGCCGAGUUUGUGUUGUUUGCCUCGUGAAUUCUUUUUUUCUUCUUCUUUUUUUUCUGUCUUCUGGAGUUCCUUCUGAAGUUUGGCACAUUCUUUACUGGUAGGUGGGUGUGAUAUGUGAAGAUACCUAUAUAUCAAAAGUAUGUGGAUAUCCCUUUUGAUUAAUAUUGGGUUAUUUAAGCCACACUCAUUAUAACAGGUGCAUAAAAUCAAGCACACAACCAUACUAUCUCCAUACAGAGUAGAUGACAAUAGAAUGACUUGUACUGAUAAACUCUGUGAUUUUCAACGUGACACUGUCAGCUGCCCUGCUCUAUUGUACGUGUUGUUAUUGUGAUGUGGAAAUGUCUAAGAACAACAGCUCAGACUCAGAGUGGUAAACCAAACAAGCAUUUGCACAACUCAUGUGAUGAAUUUAAGCUGUCUAAUGACAAUUUUUCCUCGUAGCCUCAGGUCAUAGAUUUUGUACACAAAACAUUGCCUCAGUUUCCAGUUUUGCCCUUGUCUAAUUCCUGUGACUCCUUUGUGGAGCAACCAUUAUCUUUUAAAGGCAAAAUAUCUAGCCUAUACUGUAAAAGUCUGAGAUUUUUCAUGACUGCAAAGGGUGACUGGAAACAAUAUCUAGGUGAAACAUUUCAGAACAACUUGACAUUCUAUAUUACAUAAGAGUUCUUACAUACAUAGGGUUCUUACAUCUAAGUUAUAUACACUUACUCAAUUUGUUCAAAACAUGGCCUUAUGCAGUGUAAAACUGUACACUGCAUUCAGUGGACAUUUUUCACAGAUGUUAGUCCAAUAUGUAACUGGUUUUAUGCAUCCUCUGUAACCCAUGCACACAUGUUUGGCUUUGCACAAAACUUGCAAAGUGUUCAGAGGCAAACCUAGAUUAUGUGGGGGCCCCAGGCAAAAUAAAUAUGUGGGGCCCUUCUGACACAUUUAUGUUGCUAUUAUGUCUCCAUGUUACCCAGAGAUACUACUAUGACCCUUUAUGUCUGCCAAGGAAUCACAGUAGAUGUGUGUUUCAAAGAUUUACUUUCUUUAUUGAUUUCUUUCAUUUCUUUAUCUAUCCUAUAAUUGCUGAUCAUGGUCUCAAAACUGUGUCCCUUCCCUCUAUGACUGUAAAUCAUCCAGUGCUGAGCCCGGAUUCUUCUCCAUCAAAAAUCUUGUGUAACUGUACUUCUAAAUAAACUGUUUCCAUUAUUAUUUUUUUCUUUAUUGUGAGGGCUAAUUGCUUAACAUAAAAUCCAUCAAUGCAUCAUUUAACCAUAGUUGUGGGGUGUUUCAUGC
ensembl:lncRNA